rnacentral:piRNA from 1 species
UGGACUGUCAUGGAGUAGUUAAGAGUGC